UAAUGACAUUUUUUGUAAUUC
rnacentral:snRNA from 1 species